rnacentral:rRNA from 1 species
CAAAGGUAGCAUAAUCAUUAGGGAUUUAAUUGGAACCUGGUAUGAAGGGUUGGACAAAGGAAAGACUGUCUAUAUAAUAUGAAUUGAAAUUUACUUUUAAGUGAAAAGGCUUAAAUAAAUCAAAGGGACGAUAAGACCCUAUAAAGCUUUAUAAAUAAUUUAAAUUUAAUUAAUUUAAUGAUUAAAGGUUAAGUUUACACUAUUUUAUUUUGUUGGGGUGAUAUGAGUAUAAGUGUUGUUAACUGCUUAAAAAAAAUUCUAUUAUUAAAGAAUUAAUAAAAUGGAUGAUCCUUUGUAAAGAUUAAAAGACUAAGUUACUUUAGGGAUAACAGCGUUAUUUCUUUUGAGAGUUCAUAUCGAAAAAGAAGAUUGCGACCUCGAUGUUGAAUUAAAAUAUCUAUAUAAUGAAGCCGUUAUAAAAGAGGGUCUGUUCGACCUUUAAAUUUUUACAUGAUUUGAGUUCAAACCGG